rnacentral:rRNA from 1 species
UACGUAGGUGGCGAGCGUUGUCCGGAUUUACUGGGCGUAAAGAGCGCGCAGGCGGCUGGUCAAGUCCGAUGUGAAAGCUCCCGGCUUAACUGGGAAAUUGCAUCGGAAACUGAUCGGCUGGAAGGUGGGAGAGGGUAGCGGAAUUCCCGGUGUAGUGGUGAAAUGUGUAGAGAUCGGGAGGAACACCGGUGGCGAAGGCGGGUCUCUGGGCAAUUCCUGACGCUGAGGCGCGAAAGCGUGGGGAGCAAACGGG